rnacentral:rRNA from 1 species
AUUCCAGCUCCAAUAGCGUAUAUUAAAGUUGUUGCAGUUAAAAAGCUCGUAGUUGGAUUUCUGACAGGGGGCCGAACACCACUGUAGUGAGUGUUUUGGUACCUGUCAUCCUUCUGUUAACCCUAGCGUCAUUCAUUUGUCGUUGGGCGGACCAGAUACUUUACCUUGAGAAAAUUAGAGUGUUUCAGGCAGGCCUAGCCGGAAUACAUUAGCAUGGAAUAAUGGAAUAGGACUAUAGUCUCGUCGUUGGUUACGUGGACUGCAGUAAUGAUUAAUAGGGAUAGUUGAGGGCAUUAGUAUUUAUUAGCUAGAGGUGGAAUUCUCUAAUUUGAUAAGGACUAACUUAUGCGAAAGCAUUUACCAAGGAUGUUUUCAUUG